CCUCCUCCUGCCACCAGGGGGACCUGGAGGACUGCAGGAGGAAGCAGCACAACAGACAAACAUGAGGACAAAUGGUAAAAACUGGAGCAAAGGUGGACAACAGCAUAGCUGAACUCUGGAUUUCUCAGUUUGGAUUACAUGGAGCCAUCUGAUCACUGUUAAAGAUGAAAGGACAUGUAGGACGUGUCUCUGAGGUGUGAAAGUAGAACCGUGACUCCAGGGACCUAC